rnacentral:rRNA from 1 species
CACGUAGGGGGCAAGCGUUGUCCGGAUUUAUUGGGCGUAAAGAGCUCGUAGGCGGCUUAGUAAGUCGGGUGUGAAACCUCCAGGCUCAACCUGGAGACGCCACCCGAUACUGCUGUGGCUAGAGUCCGGUAGGGGAGCGUGGAAUUCCUGGUGUAGCGGUGAAAUGCGCAGAUAUCGGGAGGAACACCUAUGGCGAAGGCAGCUCGCUGGGACGUUACUGACGCUGAGACGCGAAAGCGUGGGGAGCAAACAGG